UACGUAGGGGGCAAGCGUUGUCCGGAUUUAUUGGGCGUAAAGAGCGUGUAGGCGGCCAUACAGGUCCGUUGUGAAAACUGGAGGCUUAACCUCCAGACGUCGAUGGAAACCGUAUGGCUAGAGUCCGGAAGAGGAGAGUGGAAUUCCUGGUGUAGCGGUGAAAUGCGCAGAUAUCAGGAGGAACACCGAUGGCGAAGGCAGCUCGCUGGGACGUGACUGACGCUGAGACGCGAAAGCGUGGGGAGCAAACAGG
rnacentral:rRNA from 1 species